rnacentral:rRNA from 1 species
AUUGAACGCUGGCGGCAGGCCUAACACAUGCAAGUCGAGCGGUAGAGAGAAGCUUGCUUCUCUUGAGAGCGGCGGACGGGUGAGUAAUGCCUAGGAAUCUGCCUGGUAGUGGGGGAUAACGUUCGGAAACGGGCGCUAAUACCGCAUACGUCCUACGGGAGAAAGCAGGGGACCUUCGGGCCUUGCGCUAUCAGAUGAGCCUAGGUCGGAUUAGCUAGUUGGUGAGGUAAUGGCUCACCAAGGCGACGAUCCGUAACUGGUCUGAGAGGAUGAUCAGUCACACUGGAACUGAGACACGGUCCAGACUCCUACGGGAGGCAGCAGUGGGGAAUAUUGGACAAUGGGCGAAAGCCUGAUCCAGCCAUGCCGCGUGUGUGAAGAAGGUCUUCGGAUUGUAAAGCACUUUAAGUUGGGAGGAAGGGCAGUUACCUAAUACGUGAUUGUUUGACGUUACCGACAGAAUAAGUCAACCGGCUAACUCUGUGCCAGCAGCCGCGGUAA